rnacentral:rRNA from 1 species
CAGCCGCCGCGGUAAUACCGGCGGCCCGAGUGGCGGUCACUAUUAUUUGGCUUAAAGCGUCCGUAGCCGGGUUGGGAAGUCCUCCGGGAAAUCUGGCCGCUUAACGGUCCGAAUGCCGGAGGAUACUCCCAGCCUAGGGAGCGGGAGAGGCCGAGGGUAUUCCCGGAGUAGGGGGGAAAUCCUAUAAUCCCGGGAGGACCACCUGUGGCGAAGGCGCUCGGCUGGAACGCGUCCGACGGUGAGGGACGAAGGCCAGGGGAGCAAACCGGAUUAGAUACCCGGGUAGUCCUGGCUGUAAACGAUGCGGACUUUGUGUCGGACAAGCUAUGAGCUUGUCCGGUGCCGGAGGGAAACCGUUAAGUCCGCCGCCUGGGGAGUACGGCCGCAAGGCUGAAACUUAAAGGAAUUGGCGGG